rnacentral:rRNA from 1 species
GACGAACGCUGGCGGCGUGCCUAAUACAUGCAAGUAGAACGCUGAAGGAGGAGCUUGCUUCUCUGGAUGAGUUGCGAACGGGUGAGUAACGCGUAGGUAACCUGCCUGGUAGCGGGGGAUAACUAUUGGAAACGAUAGCUGAUACCGCAUAACAGUAGAUAUCGCAUGAUAUCUACUUGAAAGGUGCAAUUGCAUCACUACCAGAUGGACCUGCGUUGUAUUAGCUAGUUGGUGAGGUAACGGCUCACCAAGGCGACGAUACAUAGCCGACCUGAGAGGGUGAUCGGCCACACUGGGACUGAGACACGGCCCAGACUCCUACGGGAGGCAGCAGUAGGGAAUCUUCGGCAAUGGACGGAAGUCUGACCGAGCAACGCCGCGUGAGUGAAGAAGGUUUUCGGAUCGUAAAGCUCUGUUGUAAGAGAAGAACGAGUGUGAGAGUGGAAAGUUCACACUGUGACGGUAUCUUACCAGAAAGGGACGGCUAACUACGUG